GACGAACGCUGGCGGCGUGCUUAACACAUGCAAGUCGAACGGAAAGGCCCGGUCUUGGUGGGGUGCUCUGGUUGCGAACGGGUGAGUUACACGUGAGUAACCUGCCCUUGACCUUGGGAUAAGUUAAGGAAACUGAGGCUAAUACCGGAUAGGAGUUCCUGCUGCAUGGUGGGGGUGGGUUAGUUUCGGCGGUUGGGGAUGUACUCGCGGCUCAUGAGCUUGUUGGUGGGGUAGUGGCUGAGCAAGGCUUGGACGGGUAGCCGGCCUGAGCGGGUGAGAGGCCACGCCGGGACUGAGAUGCGACACAGACUCCUACGGGAGGGAGCAGUGGGGGAUAUUGCACUGUAGGCGGGAGGCUGGUGCAAUCGAGCCGCGCGCGGGGUGACGGCAUUCGGGUAGUGAAGCACUUUCGCCUGUGACGAGGCGUGAGUGACGGUACUGGGUGAAGAAGCACCGGCUAACUACGUG
rnacentral:rRNA from 1 species